UACGUAGGGUGCGAGCGUUGUCCGGAAUCAUUGGGCGUAAAGCGCACGUAGGCGGUUUGUUAUGUCGGAUGUGAAAGCCCUUGGCUCAACUGAGGAAGUGCAUCCGAAACUGGCAGGCUAGAGUACUAAAGAGGGUCGCGGAAUUCCCGGUGUAGAGGUGAAAUUCGUAGAUAUCGGGAGGACACCGGUGGCGAAGGCGGCGACCUGGGUAGAUACUGACGCUGAGGUGCGAAAAGCGUGGGGAGCAAACAGGG
rnacentral:rRNA from 1 species